CUAGACGCUCGUGUAUGAAGGUAAACUAAUUAAGUACAGUGUUUUUGCAGUGAAUUUUUUAUGUUAUUAUUGUUAUCUGGUUUUUAAACCAAGUUAAUCAUGAUCUAGUAGUUAGUAAUUGAUUCUAAAUUGUAGACUUCACAACACGGCUGCAAUGGGAUGUUAUUCAGUUAUUGAGAAUUGAAACAGUCGUCCGAACGGUAUUUUACUUUGCACGUCAUUCAAUUUUCUUUGUUUGUGAAUUACCAUAUUUAUUCUUUAUUCUAUUGCAGUGCUGCGUGACGCUAAAUUGCAUUUAUACCCAUUACCUAGUUUGUAGUUAUUGUAAUUUGUCGCCCAGUCUUCUUCAUUGUUAUUUUAAUGAUUUAUACAUGAUCGAAUUAUAGACGUGAAUCAACGUGAGUACCUAUUAAUUUAUUAUUUUAUCCAUAAAUUACUUACUUAUCUACAGGUAGUUUAUUAGUUGUAACCUAAUUAUGCAAUUGAAAUCACCUAAUUAAAUACAAAAAUAAUUUCUUAUGUUUUUAUAUCAGUAGAUAGGUGCCUAGGUACUGUUGUGGGUGACUGUUUAACACCAAGUUCCAGGUGAACUUAUAACUAGUGGUGUAUUCGAUGCUUUAAUGCUUUCAAUUUAAUGUUUCUGCUUCCGUUGUCACUAAAAUAGCCUAUAACCUUAAUGCGUAAUGUGAGUUCAACUUGAAGUUUUAAUGUAAGCAAUAGGUAUUACAUUACCUAUAGGAAAUGUUACCUAAUUGUAUAAUAUUAGGUACUUAAUUAUAUUAUGUAUAAUAUUACCUAAAAUUCUGAAAUCUAAAAAUUUGUAUGAUUAAGUACACUUUUAAGAUUGUAGCAAUUAACAUAUAUUUGUAUUUGUAAAUCUAAAAAAUUUAAAAGUGGGGCGGGUGGGGGGGGAGUGAAAAUUGAUCGCAAUCACCUCUUUUAUUUAUAAUUGGUGUAUACUCAAGACUCUUUUUAAGACUACAUUAUUGUCUCUAACCGAAGUCAAAAAUAAACAGACAUAAUUUUUAUAAAUACCUACCCAUAUUUUACUAAAUUGUAAAAAUAUUCAAACACUUGGUCAAUUUCAUGAAAAAGCCUGGUAUGAAAGUACUCAAGACUCAACUGAAAAGGAGUUGUUGGCAGCCAGUAUUUAUAUUGUGUACUCAUAGGUGUAUUAUGAUGGUUUUCUGUUAGGGUGCCUUAAUAGCCUUAACAAAAUUGUUUUCAAGGAUACAUAUCUACUUGUCGGUACUGUUAUGGUGUUACCCCUCCCUUAAAAGCAUAAGGUUAUUAUGAGGCAUACACAGGAGAGGAUUUUGGGAGUUUAAUCACCUCAAGAACUUUUAGUUUAUUAAUUUUGUGUUUAAUUAUAAUCAACAUAUUAGGUGCAUAAAAAUAUUUUAUAAAAUAAAACACUAACAUUUUCACUUGCAUAUUAUGCACUUUAUGUAUGCCCUAUAGGUACAUAUGAAGAGCUACGGGGAAAAACGAUAAUAGUAAAAAAAAAAAAAAAUAGGAUAAUUAUAUCAUCUUGUCAUUUGUUUCUAAGUGAAUUGGUAUGUAAAUCGAUUUGGGGAAUAAAGAUCACGGUCAGUGAUAUAAAAUAGGUUUAAAUAUACCUAUGACAGCAAAACAAGAUCAUAGUUUGACUUCUGAAACUUUAAAACUGCAAUACUGCACAUUUUAGAAAUAUUGACUAAUCGUUUUUUGAGUCAUUUUUUCUUUUAGCAUUUUAUAUAAAAAUAUGGAUAAAUGUAUAUUACAAAUAAUUCAAAGUUAAUAAAAAUAAAUACUUAGAUGUCGGUUUACAUUUUUAAGAAUAAAUAUAUUUUAAUGUUACAAUAAUUAAAACAGUAAGAACUAAAAUUACAAAUAAAUAAUAAAAUUAAUUUCAACUGUAGACUUUUUGGCAAAAAUAUUUUAUAUUAACAUGAUUAAUAUUUGAUAUGUUUCUUUCCAUGCAAACUUAUGAUAUAUUUGUAAACCUCUCAUUGGAACAUUUAAACAUUUUAAGUAAAGUACUACCAAGCAGAAAUAUAUAUUUAUUGAUAUUGCAUGAAAAAAAUCAAACUAUGAUUUAAAAUAGAAAAAAAAAACCAAAUCUUUGUAUUACUAAAACCUUUUUCAAUAUACUCAGAAUGUAAAAUAAUUCAUUUUGACUGUAUAAUAAAAAGCUUUACUUCGUAUUGUUUAAUAAAAUGCUAAACUGUCAUCAUAUUUUAACUUAAUACAUUUGAUAAGUUUUAAACUUUCUGUUAAAAAUCUAAUUUUUAAACACAAAAUAAUAUAAGUUUGAAUUUUUUUAUCAAUUGUAUAAAAUAAUAAGCCUUAGAUAGUUAGAUAAUUAUAUUUUAUACAUUUCGCAAAAAAAAAAAAAGGGUAACAAGAAAACUUUUUCUUGGAUGAUUAUUUUAUAGGGGAAGCUGUAAGAAAUGUUAAAAGGUUGGAAAAAAUGUUGGUGGUUAUGACUCCCUUAGCCCCUCAUGCAUCGAGUAUGCCAUACCUACCCCAAGCACUAGUAUGCCUUCAGCAGUAAACAAAUAAUGAGAAAAUAAAUUAAGAUGGUUUGGGAAUGUCAUUAGAAGAAUGGAAUUUGAAAUAGUAAGAAUGGUUAUGAUUUUAUUAUAAUAAUUUAUUUUACAUAUUACCUAUGAUAAUAUCAGAGCACUAUUUUGUAGUAUGAUAAUAAUUAAUUAUUAAAACUUGAAACUAUUUAGCUUAAGUAAAUAUAUUUAUUUUAUAAUACUUAUUGUAAAUUGUAACUUUAAAUUUAAUUAAAAUAAGGAAAAGUAGUUUUUUAGUAAAAAAUGAAGACAAUAGGUACACAAAUAGAAAAGAAAAUUGCUUUUUGGUAACAGGAAUAUAAAAUGAGAAAAAUAGUUAAGUUCACAACAUAAUAUAAAAAAGGUUUUAUUUUCUUCUCUUCAAUAAGUCUAAAUUCAAUUGUACCAUAGAAAAUGAUAAUUCCUAUAGUAGUAAGACAUUUUUAUAUUAAUGAUUAGGCUUGCAAAUAUUGAUAAAUUAUUUUUAAAGUAUUUUUGUUUACUUCAUUAUUAUUAAUUAUAUUAUAUAAUAUUAUAAUACCAGUUAUCUAUUCUGUAAUAUGAUAAUUAUUAAUUUUUAGAGUUUGUUUUAGAUUAAGUAUAUAACAUUUCGAUUUCUAGAAGGUAGGGUGUAGGUACACAAUGACCAUUAAAUAUAUGUGAUAUAUAAUCUUGCACCAUCAAGUGAUUUUUUUUGUGUUUCUUUUGUUUGUCUUUUAUGAUUUCCUACUUAAUCGGUUGAUCUGAUCAAGUCAGGCUCUAGCUUGUCCCUGCCCUGUCCAAUCAACAGCUGUAUCUAUUAAAGAUGUAGAGGCCAGACUGGUAACCUCCACACACAUGCAGUUGCUAGGUAACACCUUCGGGAGCCUACUUGCUUAUUCCUGACUACCAACAGCUAGGUAUCCAACCCACCUGUUGUACUAUUAUUAUUUCUGAUUGUGACUUCUAUAAAGAAUUUUUUAAAUGGUAGCUUUCCAUUACAUUUUAUACCUACAGCCAGAUGAUUUUUGUUCAGGGUUUCUUCCCCUACGAUGCUUGCCAGUCAAGGGUGGAGAGUUUGCCUUACCCUGAUUUGUAUGCUGAUCACAGCAUCUGUAUUGACUUAUAUCAUAGCUAAUGGCAAUAUAAGGUAGUCCAAAAAGUUAUUCUAGAAUUAUUUGCCUGAAACAUUUCUCCAAUUUGGUGAUGGCUGUUGCCCCAUUAAUGCAAGACAAACUGUCCGGGUAAUGUAUUAUACUAAUAAUACAAACAUUUUUUUCCUUUCAAUCUUUUGCACAAAUUAAAUAGCGCGGAAUGUAUAAAUGCCCAAACAGAUUUCCAAACCACUUGACCACUUGAUCCCCAAUCAAAAUCCACAGUUACAGACAUUUGGAGAUAGUGCCCUUUGUGUUGCUGUUGCUGAAUACUAUGUGUAUUAGUUAAUAUAUAUUUAAAACUAGGGAUUAUAUAAAUGCACAAGUAUAUUACCUCAAUAAAAUUGUCCUUGUGUCUGUUAAAAUAUAUAGGUACUGAAUAGUUGUAGAGCCAUUUUUUUAUUGACUCUGACUUUCUCAAAAUUGGAAUGAAAUCUCUAUGCCAACCAUUGAUCUCAAAGGAUGCCAUAUUGCAAUCUUAUCAUAAAACCUUUCAUUUUCAGUCUCCUGGUAAAAAUAUUAUUAACAACAUGUACCACAUCUCAUUGUCCAAGAUAAAUGUUAUUACAGUGGCACACUUAAACAAUAAAUUCCCUAAAAGAAUUCUAAAAAGAAACUCAGAAUAGUAUUUUAAAAGUAUUUAAUGUAUAAAAUAGAUUUUUACUAUUUCAAAUACAUUUUAAUGUACAAUAAGAAAGAUAAAUUAAAAUACUUAUAAAAAUGCAAAAUGUUCAAAAUGUUUGUAAGCACACUCAUAUCCAGCUGAUACAUUUGUAAAUGUUUAAAUUUUAUAAUUAAAUAUAAAAUAUGUGUUUACUUAUAGUAUAGUGCAUACUUAAUAUUGUUAUUAACUUAUUAAAAUAACAAAACUUAAUUAUUUUUAAAAUAAACAUUAUGUAAAUUAAAAAAUAUGUUAAUUUUAAAAUACUCAUAGUAAAUUGUAACAUUACAUUUAAUUAAAAUAUUGGCAAAUAGUUAUUUGAUAAAAAACCAAAUGAAAUUUACAAACAGAAAAGAAAAUGGCUUUUAAGAAAUAAAGAAAUAUAAAUGGGAAAAUGUAAAUAGUCCACAAUAUAUUGUUAAGUUUUUCUCCUUUCUAUUUUCUUUUCACCCAUAGGUCCAAGUUCAAUCUUGAACUAGAACAGGAUCAUUCAUAUAUAAGAAAGGAAAUUAAAUAUGUUAAUGAUACAUUUAGAUAUCAAAUAAAUGUUUUUUUCAUAAUUUAAAUAUAAUUAUUUAAGUAAUAUAUUUUAAUAUAGGGAUGAAAUUAUGUGGUUAAAAAGUAAGAGAAUAUACAAAUUGAAAAAAGAAAAAAAAUUAUGGCUUUUUGGUAAUGAGGAAAUAAAAAUGGGAAAAUGACAUAGUCCACAAAAAAGUGUUAAAUUUUUCUCCUUUUUAUUUUCUCUUCUCCCAUAAGUCAAAGUUCAAUAUUAUAAUAGAACAGGAUCAAUCAUAAAGAAGAAAGAAAAUUCAAUAUGUAAAUGAUACAUGUAAAUAUUAUAUUAACUGUUGUAUUCAUUAUUCUAAGGAAAUCAUUUAUUUUAUGUAUUGUAAUUAAAGGGUAUUCUAUGAUGAAGAUCCAAUUAAAAUAAUAAACUUUAUAUUAUUUACUUUAUGUAAAUGUAAUUGUGUUUUAAUACAUAAUAUAAAUUUUAAUAUUGUAUUCAAUAAAAAAAACCUGAACGUAGAUAUUUGACAUGAAAGAAAGAUAAUACACAUACAGAAAAAAGAAACAAAAAAUAUGGCUUUUUGGUAAUGAGGAAAUAAAAAUGGGAAAAUGACAAAAGUCCACAGUAAUGUGUUAAGUUUUCUCCUUUUUAUUUUCUCUUCUCCCAUAAGUCCCAAGUUCANGUAUAUAAAUAGCCGUUUUAAUUAUUCUAAAGAAAUCAUUUAUUUUAUGUAUUAUAAUAAAAGGGUAUUCUAUGAUGAAGAUCCAAUUAAAAUAAUAAACUUUAUAUUAUUUACUUUAUGUAAAUGUAAUUAUUUUUCAGGACUUGAUAUGAAUUUUAAUAUUAUAUUCAAUAAAAAAAACCUGAAUAUAGAUAUUUUGCACGAAAGAAAGAUAAUACACAUACAGAAAAAGGAAGAAAAAAUAUAGCUUUUUGGUAAUGAGGAAAUAAAAAUGGGAAAAUGACAAAAGUCUACAAUAUAGUAUUAAGUUUUUCUCCUUUUUAUUUUCUCUUCUCCCAUAAGUCCAAGUUCAAUAUUAAACUAGAACAGUAUCUUAUAGGGGUAAGGAAAUGUAAUAUGUUGAUGAUACAUGUAAAUAUUAUUUUAAUAGCUGUAUUCAUUAUUCUAAUGAAAUC